rnacentral:rRNA from 1 species
CCUGCCCAAGAGAUCGGGAUAACACCUGGAAACAGAUGCUAAUACCGGAUAACAACAGAUGAUGCCUAUCAACUGUUUAAAAGAUGGUUCUGCUAUCACUCUUGGAUGGACCUGCGGUGCAUUAGCUAGCUGGUAGGGUAACGGCCUACCAAGGCGAUGAUGCAUAGCCGAGUUGAGAGACUGAUCGGCCACAUUGGGACUGAGACACGGCCCAAACUCCUACGGGAGGCAGCAGUA